UACGUAGGUGGCAAGCGUUGUCCGGAUUUACUGGGUGUAAAGGGCGUGCAGCCGGGCUGACAAGUCAGAUGUGAAAUCCCGCGGCUCAACCGCGGAACUGCAUUUGAAACUGUCAGUCUUGAGUACCGGAGAGGUCAUCGGAAUUCCUUGUGUAGCGGUGAAAUGCGUAGAUAUAAGGAAGAACACCAGUGGCGAAGGCGGCCUGCUGGACGACAACUGACGGUGAGGCGCGAAAGCGUGGGGAGCAAACAGG
rnacentral:rRNA from 1 species